rfam:Parcubacteria (Moranbacteria) bacterium GW2011_GWC2_40_12 TT79_C0002, whole genome shotgun sequence.
CUUUUUGAGAGUUUGAUCCUGGCUCAGGAUGAACGCUGGCGGCGUGGAUAAGGCAUGCAAGUCGAGGGCCGAUUUUGAUCGGCCCGGCAAACGGGUUAGUAACGCAUAGGAACGUACCCUCGAGUCUCGAAUAAUCCCUCGAAAGGGGGAAUAAUGCGAGAUAGUUCUCUUCGGAGUAAAGAUUUAUCGCUUGAGGAGCGGCCUGUGUCCUAUCAGCUUGUUGGCGGGGUAAAGGCCCACCAAGGCUAUGACGGGUAGGGGAUGUGAGAGCAUGAUCCCCAACAUUGGGACUGAGACACUGCCCAAACACCUACGGGUGGCUGCAGUCGAGAAUCUUCGGCAAUGGGCGAAAGCCUGACCGAGCGACGCCGCGUGGAGGAUGAAGGCCUUCGGGUUGUAAACUCCUUUUGCAAGGGAAGAAACCGUGUUCAGCACGGAGAAUCCAAUUACACUCCGCCUCAUCGGCGGAAACUUUAGGAAUUGUGUUGAGAAAAAAUGUUUUGAUCUUUUUUAGGGAGGAAUAAACAAUGGCCGCCCAAAGUCUUGAGAUUACGGCAAAAACAGAAGAGGCUUUAGAAAAAGAAGUCAACCAUCGUGUCGAGUUUGCGCCCCAAAUUGGCCGUCGGGUUACUGGUGUGCAGUUUAUGAAAACACUGGCUGCCGAUGGGAACCACAGGGCUAUACUCACGAUCGAAGGAGGAUGUUGCUGCUAAAAAACAAUUCCCCUAAAUCGAUUCAAGCGAGAUUGCGAACCUGCUUUCUCGCAAUCUCAACUCAAUUCCUAAAAAGAAAAAAGUGUAAUUGACGAUUCCGUGUUGGAUACGGCUGACGGUACCUUGCGAAUAAGAGGUUGCUAACUCUGUGCCAGCAGCAGCGGUAAUACAGAGACCUCAAGCGUUAUCCGGAUUUAUUGGGCGUAAAGCGUGUGUAGGUGGCGAUGAUAGUCAGAUGUCAAAUUCCAGCGCUCAACGUUGGAGCUGCAUCUGAAACGUCAUCACUAGAGGCAAGUAGAGGCUCAUGGAACAUAUGGUGUAGCAGUGAAAUGCGUUGAUAUCAUAUGGAACGCCAAAGGAGAAGUCAGUGAGCUGGGCUUUGCCUGACACUGAGACACGAAAGCGUGGGUAGCGAACGGGAUUAGAUACCCCGGUAGUCCACGCCCUAAACGUUGCCAACUAGGUCUUGGAAGUAUCGACCCUUUCAGGACCGUAGCUAACGCGUUAAGUUGGCCGCCUGGGAAGUACGGCCGCAAGGCUAAAACUCAAAGGAAUAGACGGGGACCCGCACAAGCGGUGGAGCACGCGGUUCAAUUCGUCAACAAGCGAGGAACCUCACCAGGGCUUGAAAUCCUACUGCAAAUCCCGAGAAAUCGGGACUUCUUCGAGAGUGUAGGACAGGUGCUGCAUGGUUGUCGUCAGCUCGUGCCGUGAGGUGUUCCGUUAAGUCGGGAAACGAGCGCAACCCCUGUCGAGUGUUACUUAUGUCACUCGAGACUGCCCAGCCCAGAGUUUUCGAAUCAUCGAAAAUUUCGGGCUGGGAGGAAGGUGGGGAUGACGUCAAAUCAGCAUGGCCCUCUGACGCCCUGGGCGACACGCAUGCUACAAUGGCCGGUACAAUGGGUUGCCAAACCGCGAGGUGGAGCCAAUCCCAUAAAGCCGGUCCCAGUUCGGAUUGGAGUCUGCAACUCGACUCCAUGAAGCCGGAAUCGCUAGUAAUCGUGAAUCAGCCAUGUCACGGUGAAUACGUUCUCGGGUCUUGUACUCACCGCCCGUCACACCAAGAGAGUCGGUAAUACCCAAAGUGCCACGCAAGUGGUCCUACGGUAGGAUCGAUAAUAAGGGUGAAGUCGUAAAUUUGUUGCGACCUCAAAGAGCAAUCUUUGAGAAAAACCUGACUA